AUUGAACGCUGGCGGCAGGCCUAACACAUGCAAGUCGAACGAGUGGCGGACGGGUGAGUAAUGUCUGGGAAACUGCCUGAUGGAGGGGGAUAACUACUGGAAACGGUAGCUAAUACCGCAUACCAUCGGAUGUGCCCAGAUGGGAUUAGCUAGUAGGUGGGGUAAAGGCUCACCUAGGCGACGAUCCCUAGCUGGUCUGAGGGGAUGACCAGCAACACUGGAACUGAGCAAAGUUCAUGCGUCCUAGGGGAGGAAGCAGUGGGGAAGAUUGAACAUUGGGGGAAAGCCUGGUCCGGCCAGGCGGCGUGUAGGAAGAAGGCUUUCGGGUUGUAAAGUACUUUAGCGGGGAGGCGUUACCCGCAGAAGAAGCACCGGCUAACUCCGUGCCAGCCGCCGCGGUAAUUC
rnacentral:rRNA from 1 species